AUACGGAGGGUGCAAGCGUUAUUCGGAAUCACUGGGCGUAAAGGACGCGUAGGUGGGUUGGCAAGUCAGAUGUGAAAUCCUACAGCUUAACUGUAGAACUGCAUUUGAAACUGCUAACCUAGAGUAUGGGAGGGGGAGAUGGAAUUAGUGGUGUAGGGGUAAAAUCCGUAGAUAUCACUAGGAAUACCGAAAGCGAAGGCGAUUUCCUGGAACAUAACUGACGCUAAGGCGUGAAAGCGUGGGGAGCAAACAGGAUUAGAAACCCUUGUAGUCC
rnacentral:rRNA from 1 species